GCGAGGGAUCAUUACCGAGUUUACAACUCCCAAACCCAAUGUGAACGUUACCAAACUGUUGCCUCGGCGGGGUCACGCCCCGGGUGCGUCGCAGCCCCGGAACCAGGCGCCCGCCGGAGGAACCAACCAAACUCUUUCUGUAGUCCCCUCGCGGACGUAUUUCUUACAGCUCUGAGCAAAAAUUCAAAAUGAAUCAAAACUUUCAACAACGGAUCUCUUGGUUCUGGCAUCGAUGAAGAACGCAGCGAAAUGCGAUAAGUAAUGUGAAUUGCAGAAUUCAGUGAAUCAUCGAAUCUUUGAACGCACAUUGCGCCCGCCAGUAUUCUGGCGGGCAUGCCUGUCCGAGCGUCAUUUCAACCCUCGAACCCCUCCGGGGGAUCGGCGUUGGGGAUCGGGACCCCUCACACGGGUGCCGGCCCCGAAAUACAGUGGCGGUCUCGCCGCAGCCUCUCCUGCGCAGUAGUUUGCACAACUCGCACCGGGAGCGCGGCGCGUCCACGUCCGUAAAACACCCAACUUUCUGAAAUGUUGACCUCGGAUCAGGUA
rnacentral:sRNA from 1 species